rnacentral:misc_RNA from 1 species
UCUUAGGGCAAGUAUAAUAGUAGGCUAUAAGCUGGCUAAAAGUUAAGGUGGAGAAGAGAAGAGAGAAGAAGUGGGCUGUAAACUUACAGUCGGCUUGGAAACAAGAUCUAAGAAACUCUGUGAGAGAGACAAGUGGACCCUAUAUUAAUUGUAAAGAGCUAACUAUUAUAUGGGUAGACUGAGAGAAUGCUACAAAGAACCUUAUAGCCAACAGAUCGGUUGUAUUAUUAGCCUUGCUCUUAGAAUAGAU